rnacentral:snRNA from 1 species
AUACUUACCUGGCAGGGGAGACACCAUGAUCAUAAGGUGGUUUUCCCAAGGUGAGGUUCAUCCAUUGUACUCCCGGUGUGUUGACCCCUGCGAUUUCCCCAAAUGCAGGAAACUCGACUGCAUAAUUUGUGGUAGUGGGGGAUUGCCCUGC